UAAUUAAACGUUUCGUUACGCACAAUAAAUAAUAAUGCAAUUUGUAAUAUAGGUGUAGGUAUUCAUAAUGAUACUAUGGUUAUGCAAAAAUUUACUAGAUGUACCGAAAAAUCUCAAAUAAAAGUUAUUGUUGCGUUUUAAAUAUUUUCUUUUUUUAAUACAAUUUUCAAAUUUGACUUAAAGGCCUAAAAACGUAAUCAGAAUCUUUUGAUAAAAUGGCCGGUUAUAGGCGUAGGCGAUGUCGGUCCAAGCCGACGGCGAAAAAAUGUAUAUUUAUAUAUAGAGGCGGCAUAUAAGAAAAAAUUAUAAAACAAGAGUCAGAAAUUUUGAUCUUUGCCUAAAUAUAAGAAUUUGCUGGCACCAGCCUUGAUAACAUAAGUUGCUGCGGAUCCUGGACAUGAGUAUCGUGGACUACUAAGGAAGUCACGGACCACAGGUUAAGAACCGUUGCUUUAUACCAUUGAGCACUAUUAAAGUAUGUUUUUAAAAAAUAUCAUAUACCUAUAUAUAAACUAUACAUUAACUUUAAAUGUAUAUUAUACUCUAGUAUUUAGAUUGAAUUUAUUCUAACUAUGGUUCUCGUGUAAUUAAAUUACUCAACAAUUAAAAAAAUAUAUUAUAUUUGAUGAAAAAAAAAUGAUGGUCAAGUAUUUGAGAGUAAGAAAAUAAUCUUGGUCACUAAACAUUUGUGUAAAAAGGCGUUAAAUGUACAGUAAUCGACUAUGCAUUAUGAUACACAAAAAAAAUAUAAUUGUAUAUAGGAUAAAACAAUAUUAUUAUUUAAAUUGUUAAUGGAAAUAUAUUUUACAAUAGUUCUCGCUAGUUAAGGGGGAUAUCGAACUCAGUGGU